UACGUAGGGGGGCAAGCGUUGUCCGGAAUCACUGGGCGUAAAGGGCGCGUAGGCGGCCUGAUAAGUAGGGGGUGAAAUCCUGCGGCUUAACCGCAGGGCUGCCUUCUAAACUGUCAGGCUAGAGCACGGUAGAGGCAGAUGGAAUUCCCGGUGUAGCGGUGAAAUGCGUAGAUAUCGGAGAGGAACACCUGCGGCGAAGGCGGGUCUCUGGGCCGAUACUGACGCUGAGGAGCGAAAGCAUGGGGAGCGAACGGG
rnacentral:rRNA from 1 species